GUGCCCCAACCAACCUUCUUAUCAAGCCUCUCUUCCACCGCUACCACCUCUUAGCAAGCCUCUGGUGGGACGGGUUCAUCCUCUGUGCUGAGACUUAAUUAUGAUAUGCCACAGCAACGUCAGCCCCAAGUAUUGGCUGAGGUGGAGUCAACUUUAGCAGCAGUGAUGCAGCAUCAUAAUGCACAAUCUAACCUAAGCCAUGCAGAUGUUGGAUUAUUUGUUGCACAUGCAGCCCAUCUCCAGUCAGUCUGUGAAGAAGUCAUGGUCAGUUCUUUACAGGUCUGUGUGGUAGUUGGUUGUUUAGGCUAUAGACUUGUUCACAUUUGUGUCACGGUGGACAUGAGUGAAAGGUCCCAAAAGACUCAACGCUGAUAAUAUUUCAUCUUCUUCUAUAUUUGCAUAAAUCAAAUUUAAACCUUGUUUUCUCACCCAAUGGUUGGUGUCAGCGCAACAGAGCUAAGAUUUGACAUUUACUUGGUUUAUUCUAGUUCAUAAACUCUGAAAACAUUUAAAAAUCACACUCCUGCUGUGCACCCGUUUUUGUGGGCAGUACCAAGAUCAUAAGGCGCAUAAACCAACCUCGUGUUAAGCCAACACCUCCGUCUCCUGCAGAGGAGCUCCGCAAUGGGGAAAUCCACAGGUCAGCAAGAAAGCAAAAGGUCAGUCCCAGCCAUCAUGUUGUGAAGACUUACUUUGGAACAUUUAAGAUGCUGCGUGUGUCCUUUCUCUUCUUCCAGAGACUGCGCCCUACAGAACCUUGCAGCGCAGAUGAAGGCACUCCCUAAAGUUGUGGGCUGUGAGUAUGUGAACACCUGUCAACCCAGUUAAGCUGUCCAAUCCCAGCAGCCCCUGCACUUUGUCUUCUAGGAGAUCUAAGUGGGCUUGACCUAGAGACAAACUCAUCACACACACUUCUUUCUGCCCUCUUGUGUCGCAAAGAAAAUCAUCCUUAUGAACUGGAAAACUAAAAAAAAAUUAAGCAUUACUCAAUACCUGAACAGCUUGUUAGAUAACACCACCUUAGACACAUUGUCUGCUUCAUCAAAUCAAUGACCAAAACUAUACGCUGAUUGAUUUCAUUUCCAGGUAAGGAUGCGUGGGGCUCUGGUACUGCGUCAUGUCUGGCACAGUGGUGGUGGGGUGAUUAGUGGUUGGGGGUGCCUGCCUGCCUAAGGAACCAGGACAACGGGUUGGUGGACUCUGGGCUGUCCGCAUGGGUCCCCUGCGGCGGGGGUGUGGUGGCUGCUGAGACCGGCGGCCCUGUGCCGGAGUGGGACCAUUUUGAGGGUUGGCGUGUGCCUGUCUCCGGGGAGCCAGAGGCGGGCCUCCCUGCCGGUGUGCGGGGGCGGACCUGGGGGUGGACACCUGGGUG
rnacentral:lncRNA from 1 species